CCUACGGGGGACAGCAGUGAGGAAUAUUGGUCAAUGGACGAGAGUCUGAACCAGCCAAGUAGCGUGAAGGAUGACUGCCCUAUGGGUUGUAAACUUCUUUUAUAUGGGAAUAAAACGUUCCACGUGUGGGAUUUUGUCUGUACCAUAUGAAUAAGGAUCGGCUAACUCCGUGCCAGCAACCGCGGUAAUACGGAGGAUCCGACCGUUCUCCGGAUUUUUUGGGUUUAAAGGAUGCGUAGGUGGAUUGUUAAGUCAGUUGUGAAAGUUUGCGGCUGAACCGUAAAAUUGCAGUUGAAACUGGCAGUCUCGAGUUGGAGAGAAGUAUGCGGAAUGCGCGGGGUAGCGGUGAAAUGCAUAGAUAUCGCGCAGAACUCCGAUUGCGAAGGCAGCAUGCCGGCUCCAAACUGACGCUGAGGCACGAAAGCGUGGGUAUCGAACAGGAUUAGAUACCCGAGUAGUC
rnacentral:rRNA from 1 species